GGCACAGUGGCACAGUGGGUAGUGUGUUGCUUCACAGCAGGAUGGUCGUGGGUUUGAAUCCGGCCUGAGGAC